UAAACCAAAUAUGAAUCUUAUGCAGAAA
rnacentral:sRNA from 1 species